UACGUAGGGUGCGAGCGUUGUCCGGAAUUAUUGGGCGUAAAGGGCUCGUAGGCGGUUUGUCGCGUCGGGAGUGAAAACCAGGUGCUUAACACCUGGCUUGCUUUCGAUACGGGCAGACUAGAGGUAUUCAGGGGAGAACGGAAUUCCUGGUGUAGCGGUGAAAUGCGCAGAUAUCAGGAGGAACACUGGUGGCGAAGGCGGUUCUCUGGGAAUGACCUGACGCUGAGGAGCGAAAGUGUGGGGAGCGAACAGG
rnacentral:rRNA from 1 species